rnacentral:rRNA from 1 species
GAUGAACGCUGGCGGCGUGCCUAAUACAUGCAAGUAGAACGCUGAAGGAGGAGCUUGCUCUUCUGGAUGAGUUGCGAACGGGUGAGUAACGCGUAGGUAACCUGCCUGGUAGCGGGGGAUAACUAUUGGAAACGAUAGCUAAUACCGCAUGACAACAGUUAUUGCAUGAUAACUGUUUAAAAGGGGCAACUGCUCCACUACCAGAUGGACCUGCGUUGUAUUAGCUAGUUGGUGAGGUAACGGCUCACCAAGGCGACGAUACAUAGCCGACCUGAGAGGGUGAUCGGCCACACUGGGACUGAGACACGGCCCAGACUCCUACGGGAGGCAGCAGUAGGGAAUCUUCGGCAAUGGACGGAAGUCUGACCGAGCAACGCCGCGGGAGUGAAGAAGGUUUUCGGAUCGUAAAGCUCUGUUGUAAGAGAAGAACGAGUGUGAGAGUGGAAAGUUCACACUGUGACGGUAGCUGACCAGAAAGGGACGGCUAACUACGUG